CAUUACCGAGUGCAGGUCUGCCCCCGGGCAGGCCUAACCUCCCACCCGUGAAUACCUGACCAACGUUGCUUCGGCGGUGCGCCCCCCCGGGGGUAGCCGCCGGAGACCACACCGAACCUCCUGUCUUUAGUGUUGUCUGAGCUUGAUAGCAAACCUAUUAAAACUUUCAACAAUGGAUCUCUUGGUUCCGGCAUCGAUGAAGAACGCAGCGAACUGCGAUAAGUAAUGUGAAUUGCAGAAUUCAGUGAAUCAUCGAGUCUUUGAACGCACAUUGCGCCCCCUGGCAUUCCGGGGGGCAUGCCUGUCCGAGCGUCAUUGCUGCCCUUCAAGCCCGGCUUGUGUGUUGGGUCGCCGUCCCCCCCGGGGGACGGGCCCGAAAGGCAGCGGCGGCACCGCGUCCGGUCCUCGAGCGUAUGGGGCUUUGUCACCCGCUCGAUUAGGGCCGGCCGGGCGCCAGCCGGCGUCUCCAACCUUCUAUUUUACAGGGUUGACCUCGGAUCAGGUAGGGAUA
rnacentral:rRNA from 1 species